GCUCGGCUGGUCUAGUGGUAUGAUUCUCGCUUAGGGUAAUACCUUAAGAAUGCUUGCGAGAGGUCCCCGGUUCAAACCCGGGGUCGAGCC